rnacentral:rRNA from 1 species
AUUGAACGCUGGCGGCAUGCCUUACACAUGCAAGUCGAACGGUAACGCGGGGCAACCUGGCGACGAGUGGCGAACGGGUGAGUAAUGUAUCGGAACGUGCCCAGUUGUGGGGGAUAACUGCUCGAAAGAGCAGCUAAUACCGCCUACGACCUGAGGGUGAAGGCGGGGGAUCGCAAGACCUCGCGCAAUUGGAGCGGCCGAUAUCAGAUUAGGGAGUUGGUGGGGUAAAGGCCCACCAAGCCAACGAUCUGUAGCUGGUCUGAGAGGACGACCAGCCACACUGGGACUGAGACACGGCCCAGACUCCUACGGGAGGCAGCAGUGGGGAAUUUUGGACAAUGGACGAAAGUCUGAUCCAGCCAUGCCGCGUGCGGGAAGAAGGCCUUCGGGUUGUAAACCGCUUUUGUCAGGGAAGAAAAGGGCGACUUUAAUACAGUUGCCUCAUGACGGUACCUGAAGAAUAAGCACCGGCUAACUACGUGCCAGCCGCCGCAGUAACAC